rnacentral:rRNA from 1 species
GUAGGUGGCAAGCGUUGUCCGGAAUUAUUGGGCGUAAAGCGCGCGCAGGCGGUUCUUUAAGUCUGAUGUGAAAGCCCACGGCUCAACCGUGGAGGGUCAUUGGAAACUGGAGAACUUGAGUACAGAAGAGGAAAGCGGAAUUCCACGUGUAGCGGUGAAAUGCGUAGAGAUGUGGAGGAACACCAGUGGCGAAGGCGGCUUUCUGGUCUGUAACUGACGCUGAGGCGCGAAAGCGUGGGGAGCAAACAGGGAUUAGAUACCCUGGUAGUCCACGCCGUAAACGAUGAGUGCUAAGUGUUAGGGGGUUUCCGCCCCCUUAGUGCUGCAGCUAACGCAUUAAGCACUCCGCCUGGGGAGUACGGCCGCAAGGCUA